GAUUUUUUUAAAACUUACCGUGACGUCUGGAUUGGUCUAAGUAAUACUGAGGGAACAUGGAAAUGGGUUGAUGGCAGCACACUGUCCUCUAGCUUUUGGGCAUCUGAUGAGCCCCGUAAACAUACAAAUAAGGACUGUGCUGUGACUUCAAAGAAUCUUGGCAAAUCAGAGUGGUAUGACUAUCCUUGCAGUUCUGCUUUUAAAUGGAUUUGUGAAAGAAAACCAUCUUAAAAUAAAAUCUGUAAUAUGAUCACUAACAGGAAGCAGGUAAAAAUAUAAAUGUGUACUUGUAUCGCCUUUUUUGUAAGCUAAAGAUUGUUUCUUCAAAAAGUGCCAUUGUAAUAAAUCUUCUUUAUUAAAUCA